AGGAGGAGAAUAAAUAUGCUUGUGAAAAAUCACCUAAAAGUCAUAACAAAUGCAAUGUUUCUACCAUGAAGUCCACAAGGCACAAAGAUGCUAAAGCUUGCGAUAAGAAGAAAAAUCAAAACAAGAAGAUUAAUUUUUCAAGAAGCUCAGAUUGGAUACGCACAAAAGAUAUUCAGUCAAGGAGGAGUGUUGAGAAUAAUAUGCCUAAAUAUCUUCUGAAGAUCUUAGAUUUAAAUAUUAUUUAGAUUUAUAUUUAAAAUAUGAUAAUAUUAGGUUUUAUGAUUUAUAUUU
rnacentral:lncRNA from 1 species